rnacentral:rRNA from 1 species
GACGAACGCUGGCGGCGUGCUUAACACAUGCAAGUCGAACGGAAAGGCCCUGCUUUUGUGGGGUGCUCGAGUGGCGAACGGGUGAGUAACACGUGAGUAACCUGCCCUUGACUUUGGGAUAACUUCAGGAAACUGGGGCUAAUACCGGAUAGGAGCUCCUGCUGCAUGGUGGGGGUUGGAAAGUUUCGGCGGUUGGGGAUGGACUCGCGGCUUAUCAGCUUGUUGGUUGGGUAGUGGCUUACCAAGGCUUUGACGGGUAGCCGGCCUGAGAGGGUGACCGGCCACAUUGGGACUGAGAUACGGACCAGACUCCUACGGGAGGCAGCAGUGGGGAAUAUUGCACAAUGGGCGGAAGCCUGAUGCAGCAACGCCGCGUGCGGGAUGACGGCCUUCGGGUUGUAAACCGCUUUCGCCUGUGACGAAGCGUGAGUGACGGUAAUGGGUAAAGAAGCACCGGCUAACUACGUG